AUGAACGCUGGCGGCGUGCCUAAUACAUGCAAGUCGAGCGAACGGACGAGAAGCUUGCUUCUCUGAUGUUAGCGGCGGACGGGUGAGUAACACGUGGAUAACCUACCUAUAAGACUGGGAUAACUUCGGGAAACCGUAGCUAAUACCGGAUAAUAUUUUGAGCCGCAUGGUUCAAAAGUGAAAGACGGUCUUGCUGUCACUUAUAGAUGGAUCCGCGCUGCAUUAGCUAGUUGGUAAGGUAACGGCUUACCAAGGCAACGAUGCAUAGCCGACCUGAGAGGGUGAUCGGCCACACUGGAACUGAGACACGGUCCAGACUCCUACGGGAGGCAGCAGUAGGGAAUCUUCCGCAAUGGGCGAAAGCCUGACGGAGCAACGCCGCGUGAGUGAUGAAGGUCUUCGGAUCGUAAAACUCUGUUAUUAGGGAAGAACAUAUGUGUAAGUAACUGUGCACAUCUUGACGGUACCUAAUCAGAAAGCCACGGCUAACUACGUG
rnacentral:rRNA from 1 species